GUUGGGGUAGUAAAAGGUAAUACGUCGGAUUUAAAAUCCGGAGGUGGGGUUUUAACCCUCUUCAACA
rnacentral:tRNA from 1 species